ensembl:lncRNA MIR100HG mir-100-let-7a-2-mir-125b-1 cluster host gene
AUAGCAUCAAGAAACUAAUGCAAAACUGCAGAGAUCUUUCCGUGAGAUAAUUGAAUAUAAAAUCAUGAUUGCUUUUUACAAAUUUGGAUUCAUCCCAAAUCCAUUGUUCUUCAAAGGCAGGAAAAGUGAUCAGAGAAAAGGUGGACGGUAACAACACUUCACCUUGAGCUGUUAGAAUACCAGCAUUUAGCAUAACUGAUAUUUGUUGCAAUUAAGCCAUGCUACGUUGAGUGCAAAUGGGCAACUACAAUGAGGACCACUGGACUUCUGAAGUUCAAGUUCUAUUCUGUCUGAAGACAAUUUCCCUGCCAGAGGUCAAACUUUAGCACACACAUGCCAACACAGAAGUCAUAGUCCUGCAUUACAGUAUGCAUUUGGAAAUUGCCUUGUGAAACCGUCAGAAUACAGAAAACACAAAGUUUAAACGUUUUGGAUGCCUUCUGUAAGGUAAAGCAGUACCUCAGCAGUGAAUCAGGAAGAUGGACAGCAUCGAUACAGUUAAGCUAAUGAUCUCGAGAGGAUAUCGUCCUGGAUAAGGGUGGAGCCUACGCCCAAAAACAAGAUUACCUGAAAGAGAAAAGAAAGGGGGAAAACACACAGAGAUACAGUCGGGGAGGCCACAUGAAGAUGGAGGCAGAGACAGGAGUGAUGAGCCUGCAAGCCAAGGAAUGCCAAGGGCUGCCAGCAGCCAUGAGAAGCUGAGAGACACAGAGAACGAGUCCUCUGCCAGAGCCUCCAGAAGGAACUAACCCUGUCAAUACCUUGAUUUCGGACUUCUGGACUCCAGAACUAUAACCCUCCUUCCUCCACCUCACAAAAACUCACAAGCUGCAACCCUUCUGAUGUCCACUCCCACACAAACCAGCUUCAGGCCUUUUUCAAGAGUGCAGGAAAUUCUACCCCCCAAGUAUGGCACCUUGGCAUGCUGAGUAUUUUAAGCUGAAGGAAACAGAGAAAACCACAGAAGCAGAAAGGUCUUUCUGACCUCUCUUGAAGACCCUCAUGUGACAGGUGUCCUGCCCUACAUCCAGAGAGAAGGAAUGUUCCACAGACAGACUAAGAAGAAUCUGAAGAAUCAGGCCUUACUAAGUGCCCUCCAGUGGAUGCUGUGGGGCACCACCUCCUUGAGGACCAAGGCACUCCAGCUGCCAGGAAUUUGGCUGCUAACCUCACACAGCUGAGCCUUCCAUGAAAAUUGCUCUCUGCCAAAGAGAACUUCCUAGUCCAAGGUCAUGUCUACUCUCCAGAGAUGUGACUGGAGUGAUUUGCACCCGGAUGCCUAGACUCGCCAUCUGCUCAAAGACUGCUCAGAAAGCCCUCCCAUGCAUUCCCCUGCUGCAUACCAGCCCACUCUGCCUGCAGCUGCUGUCUGCAGGACUUCAUAUCUAUGCCACACUGUGUAAAAGCUGUGCUUCAAGAAAUCACAAAAACAUUUUCCUGCACCUACUACACAGCCUGAGUGCGGCAUAAGUUGACCUUGCUUGCUAAGAAAUGGGGCAAGAAAUGCUUUUUUGUGUGUGUCAUGUCUGUUUGUUUUUCAAUUAAGAGAGGAAAGCAUUAGGCAGAUGGAAUGUACAUGUGAGGAUGAGGAGACAGAAAACAAGUAGCCCUUUCCAUCAAGAUAGAGGGUUUUCUGGGGUUGCUGGCUAUUGAAUGUCACUCCUGAUUUCUCUUUCCAAGGCACUGUACCACCAGCCUACUGAGAUUGUGUGGGAGCUUUCAUGGGGGUUGUAU